GGAUGAACGCUAGCGACAGGCCUAACACAUGCAAGUCGAGGGGCAGCACAAGGAGCAAUCUGAGGUGGCGACCGGCGCACGGUGAGUAACACGUAUGCAACCUGCCUGUAAGCGGGGAAUAACCCGUUGAAAGACGGACUAAUACCGCAUAAUACUAAAUUACUGCAUGGUAAUUUAUUUAAACAUUUAUGGCUUACAGAUGGGCAUGCGCAUGAUUAGCUAGUUGGAGAGGUAACGGCUCCCCAAGGCAACGAUCAUUAGGGGUUCUGAGAGGAAGGUCCCCCACACUGGUACUGAGACACGGACCAGACUCCUACGGGAGGCAGCAGUGAGGAAUAUUGGUCAAUGGACGAGAGUCUGAACCAGCCAAGUCGCGUGCAGGAAGAAUGUCCUUAAUGGAUUGUAAACUGCUUUUGCAGGGGAAUAAAGUGCAUCACGUGUGAUGUUUUGUAUGUACUCUGCGAAUAAGGAUCGGCUAACUCCGUGCCAGCAGCAGC
rnacentral:rRNA from 1 species